rnacentral:rRNA from 1 species
AUGGGCAAGAUGCUCGACAAGUUGGUCAGCACGAUUCAGUUCUUCUCCAUGGAUGCUAUCGUCAAGAAGGCCAACUCUGGCCUCCCCGAGAUUUCCAUGGGCAACAUCCUCUACGAUGAGGUCAUCAGGUACUCAAAGAACCCUUAUCCUUACUUAUUCAAGGAAUGCUUCCUUCUCUUUGCGGGCCACGACUAA